GAUGAAGAACGUAGCGAAAUGCGAAAAGUAAUGUGAAUUGCAGAAUUCAGUGAAUCAUCGAAUCUUUGAACGCACAUUGCGCCCCCUGGUAUUCCGGGGGGCAUGCCUGUCCGAGCGUCAUUACAACCCUCAAGCUCUGCUUGGUGUUGGGCCCCGCCGCCCCGGCGGGCCCUAAAGUCAGUGGCGGUGCCAUCCGGCUCCGAGCGUAGUAAUUCUUCUCGCUCUGGAGGUCCGGUUGUGUGCUUGCCAUCAACCCCCAAUUUUUUUCAGGUUGACCUCGGAUCAGGUAGGGAUACCCGCUGAACUUAAGCAUAUCAAUAAGCGGAGGA
rnacentral:misc_RNA from 1 species